GAUGAACGCUGGCGGCGUGCCUAAUACAUGCAAGUCGAGCGAAGCGGGGACGGGGGAGUAACACGUGGAUAACCUCCUAUAUGCCCGGGAUAACUUCGGGAAACCGGAGCUAAAACGGAUACUUAUCCAUGGAUCCACGCUGCAUUAGCUAGUUGGUAAGGUAACGGCUUACCAAGGAAACGAUGCAUAGCCGACCUGAGAGGGUGACCGGCAACACUGGAACUGAGACACGGUCAAGACUCCUACGGGAGGCAGCAGUAGGGAAUCUGCCGAAAUGGGCGAAAGCAUGACGUAGCCACGCCGCGUGAGUGACGAAGGUCUUCGGAUCGUAAAACGCUUUAACUAGGGAAGCGGUACCUAAUCAGAAAGCCACGGCUAACUACGUGCCAGCCGCCGCGGUAAUAC
rnacentral:rRNA from 1 species